rnacentral:misc_RNA from 1 species
GUGAAGAACGUAGUGAAAUGCGAUACGUAAUGUGAAUUGCAGAAUUCAGUGAAUCAUCGAAUCUUUGAACGCAUAUUGCGCUCUUUGGUAUUCCGAAGAGCAUGCUUGUUUGAGUAUCAGUAAACACCUCAACCUCUUCUUGAUUUUUCAAAAGGAGGGUGGACUUGAGCUAUCCCAACAACCUUUACCGGUCGGCGGGCGGCUUGAAAUGCAGGUGCAGCUGGACUUUUAUCUGAGCUAAAAGCAUAUCUAUUUAGUCCUCGUCAAACAGGAUUAUUACUUUUGCUGCAGCUAACAUAAAGGAUAAUUGUCCUCUUUGCUGACUGAUGCAGGAUUUUACGACACUUUAUGUGUUGUUCAACUCGAUCUCAAAUCAAGUAAGACUACCCGCUGAACUUAAGCAUAUCAAUAAGCGGAGGA